GACGUAGGGGGCGAGCGUUGUCCGGAUUUAUUGGGCGGAAAGCGCGCGCAGGCGGUUCGGAAAGUCGGGCGUGAAAUGCCGGGGCUCAACCCCGGGACUGCGUCCGAUACUUCCGAGCUGGAGGUAGGUAGGGGAGAUCGGAAUUCCUGGUGUAGCGGUGAAAUGCGCAGAUAUCAGGAGGAACACCGGUGGCGAAGGCGGAUCUCUGGGCCUUACCUGACGCUGAGGCGCGAAAGCUAGGGGAGCGAACAGG
rnacentral:rRNA from 1 species